GUAAAACACUAUGAAGUGUUAUACAAGUCUAAGUGCUAUGGCUAUCGCUAUUUUAUAGCCCUCUGAUGAUGGCAAGCCACCAGCAGAAGUCCUUCCCUUCACCAAAUGGCUGCAGAAAGCAGGAGAGGAUUAUCAAAAAGCCAUUCCCUAGACAAUCCCUGCUAAUCUGUUCCAAUAACUCUGCUGAUGGGGGGGGGGGGAUAUUGUUUAUACAACUGAGUGAUGACAGCCCAAAGAAUAAUCUGUCCUCGCUAUUGAUUUGCCUUGUUUAGUGUUACUGCACCUAAUCAAUACCCCACUGAAGACUGCCGUCCUAAUGGCUUGCAGCGUUCGGCCUCUUCGGUACAUUUUCAACUGUCCAGAACGUGGAAUCGAUACCCUGAAAAUGCUCUUCCAUGCUCAUCCUUAUGAAAAGUUUGUAUUUCUCAAUAAGGGGCAAAUCAAGUUAUGCUUACAUAGUUGAUCAGAAGGAAGGGCUGAGAAUUGACUGCUUCCCACCGAGCACUAAACCUUAAAUGAAUCUAACUUCAGAGCUGAUGUCUCCGUCAUCCUUCCCAGAAUGGCUUCCUGGGUUGAACUGCUAAAAUGAUGUAGUGUCUGCUUUUGCUUAAGACAGAACCAUGGUGGUGCAGUGGUUAGAAUGCAGUAUUGCAGGCUAAUUCUGCCAACUGCCAGCAGUUC